rnacentral:sRNA from 1 species
GAACGACUACCGAAUAAACCCCAUCGAGC